GACGAACGCUGGCGGCGUGCUUAACACAUGCAAGUCGAACGGAAAGGCCCUGCUUUUGUGGGGUGCUCGAGUGGCGAACGGGUGAGUAACACGUGAGUAACCUGCCCUUGACUUUGGGAUAACUUCAGGAAACUGGGGCUAAUACCGGAUAGGAGCUCCUGCUGCAUGGUGGGGGUUGGAAAGUUUCGGCGGUUGGGGAUGGACUCGCGGCUUAUCAGCUUGUUGGUGGGGUAGUGGCUUACCAAGGCUUUGACGGGUAGCCGGCCUGAGAGGGUGACCGGCCACAUUGGGACUGAGAUACGGCCCAGACUCCUACGGGAGGCAGCAGUGGGGAAUAUUGCACAAUGGGCGGAAGCCUGAUGCAGCAACGCCGCGUGCGGGAUGACGGCCUUCGGGUUGUAAACCGCUUUCGCCUGUGACGAAGCGUGAGUGACGGUAAUGGGUAAAGAAGCACCGGCUAACUACGUGCCAGCAGCCGCGGUGAUACGUAGGGUGCGAGCGUUGUCCGGAUUUAUUGGGCGUAAAGAGCUCGUAGGUGGUUGAUCGCGUCGGAAGUGUAAUCUUGGGGCUUAACCCUGAGCGUGCUUUCGAUACGGGUUGACUUGAGGAAGGUAGGGGAGAAUGGAAUUCCUGGUGGAGCGGUGGAAUGCGCAGAUAUCAGGAGGAACACCAGUGGCGAAGGCGGUUCUCUGGGCCUUUCCUGACGCUGAGGAGCGAAAGCGUGGGGAGCGAACAGGCUUAGAUACCCUGGUAGUCCACGCUGUAAACGGUGGGUACUAGGUGUGGGGUCCAUUCCACGGGUUCCGUGCCGUAGCUAACGCUUUAAGUACCCCGCCUGGGGAGUACGGCCGCAAGGCUAAAACUCAAAGGAAUUGACGGGGCCCCGCACAAGCGGCGGAGCAUGCGGAUUAAUUCGAUGCAACGCGUAGAACCUUACCUGGGUUUGACAUGGAUCGGGAGUGCUCAGAGAUGGGUGUGCCUCUUUUGGGGUCGGUUCACAGGUGGUGCAUGGCUGUCGUCAGCUCGUGUCGUGAGAUGUUGGGUUAAGUCCCGCAACGAGCGCAACCCUUGUUCACUGUUGCCAGCACGUUAUGGUGGGGACUCAGUGGAGACCGCCGGGGUCAACUCGGAGGAAGGUGGGGAUGACGUCAAGUCAUCAUGCCCCUUAUGUCCAGGGCUUCACGCAUGCUACAAUGGCUGGUACAGAGAGUGGCGAGCCUGUGAGGGUGAGCGAAUCUCGGAAAGCCGGUCUCAGUUCGGAUUGGGGUCUGCAACUCGACCUCAUGAAGUCGGAGUCGCUAGUAAUCGCAGAUCAGCAACGCUGCGGUGAAUAAGUUCCCGGG
rnacentral:rRNA from 1 species